rnacentral:rRNA from 1 species
AUUGAACGCUGGCGGCAUGCCUUACACAUGCAAGUCGAACGGCAGCACGGGAGCAAUCCUGGUGGCGAGUGGCGAACGGGUGAGUAAAGUAUCGGAACGUGCCCAGUCGUGGGGGAUAACGUAGCGAAAGUUACGCUAAUACCGCAUACGAUCUAUGGAUGAAAGCGGGGGAUCGCAAGACCUCGCGCGAUUGGAGCGGCCGAUAUCAGAUUAGGUAGUUGGUGGGGUAAAGGCUCACCAAGCCGACGAUCUGUAGCUGGUCUGAGAGGACGACCAGCCAGCCUGGGACUGAGACACGGCCCAGACUCCUACGGGAGGCAGCAGUGGGGAAUUUUGGACAAUGGGCGAAAGCCUGAUCCAGCCAUGCCGCGUGCAGGAUGAAGGCCUUCGGGUUGUAAACUGCUUUUGUACGGAACGAAAAGGUUUGGCCUAAUAAGCUGAGCUCAUGACGGUACCGUAAGAAUAAGCACCGGCUAACUACGUGCCAGCCGCCGCAGUAA